UGGGGAAUUUUGGACAAUGGGCGAAAGCCUGAUCCAGCAAUGCCGCGUGUGUGAAGAAGGCCUUCGGGUUGUAAAGCACUUUUGUCCGGAAAGAAAUCCUUGGCUCUAAUACAGUCGGGGGAUGACGGUACCGGAAGAAUAAGCGCCGGCUAACUACGUGCCAGCAGCCGCGGUAAUACGUAGGGUGCAAGCGUUAAUCGGAAUUACUGGGCGUAAAGCGUGCGCAGGCGGUUUGCUAAGACCGAUGUGAAAUCCCCGGGCUCAACCUGGGAACUGCAUUGGUGACUGGCAGGCUAGAGUAUGGCAGAGGGGGGUAGAAUUCCACGUGUAGCAGUGAAAUGCGUAGAGAUGUGGAGGAAUACCGAUGGCGAAGGCAGCCCCCUGGGCCAAUACUGACGCUCAUGCACGAAAGCGUGGGGAGCAAACAGGAUUAGAUACCCUGGUAGUCCACGCCCUAAACGAUGUCAACUAGUUGUUGGGGAUUCAUUUCCUUAGUAACGUAGCUAACGCGUGAAGUUGACCGCCUGGGGAGUACGGUCG
rnacentral:rRNA from 1 species